rnacentral:antisense_RNA from 1 species
CCGGGGAGCAGGCGCUCCAGCAGCCUGCAGAGGACCACCCCAUCCUUCAGCGACGCCUGCAGAAAGCCCUCCGGGUCCGAGAUGGUUUUUUUGGGCGACUCCAGCACCCCCAGAGUGAUGAGCCACGUAACGGUGGCGGGGACAGGCUGAAAACGAGACGUUUGUUUCCCUUUGCUACCUUGCAAGCCGGUCAUGACGGAACACAAAUGAUGGUUCCAUCUGAAGCCAUAUGGGUCUGAAUCGGGAGGAACCGACUCUCCGGAGCGCGGCGCCGACCUCACCGGCAGGGCAGGGGCCUGCGUGAUUCUGCUCUAGACGGACGGUGACGCUUCAGACCCUGCCGGGGGAAGGUCAAGGAAACGGCGUGGCCUGAAGUGGGGCUGUGCAGAGGGCCGGGCCGGGCCGGGCGCCGGGCUGCGUCUCGGGGACGCCGAAGAUCUGGGCUGUGAAAGCAGCAGGCCGAACCUGGAGAGCCCAGACGGCAAGUGUCGCGUCAUGCGCGAGCUUCCUCGAACAACUGAUGACACGCACACAUUGACAUGCGAGGAAGAAAUGGAGCCUCUUCUUAAAAGGACACGGGUCUCCACUCACUCCAUCCACUGUCCCUGGGCACUCCCCCAGUUUGCUCGCUGUGACCCGCGGGCAGUUUAACAAGCAAAGCACUUAGUCUAUGCCAGGCACAUACAUUAAUCCGUUCAAUGACAAAGGCUAGAAAGCAUAUAAAGCUUCCAAAAAUAAUCAGAGGCUUAAGUCGUCUCCCCCUGCCUUCUGCCGGUGGAUUUCUCUUGCAAUCACUAAUUGCUUUUAUUUCUAGCCUUGAGUUAAGUGGUUAAAAUUUUCUUUGCAAAUACAAAAAAUAUUCAAAUGGCAGUAUGAAUUCUGGAUUACGAGGACAAUGUGCUCAGUGAUAACAGCGACUGGUUAGGGACCGUCAAAAAGUGUUGUCUACUGCCUCGCCUCCCAUCAUGGUCCCCUUUUACUGAUCAGAUGCCGAACAAGUGGCAGAGAUAAGACCCAAAGCUCGGCUCCUACCAGGAAAGGCAUACCUAACCCGUUUCCUACUGCUGCCCUAUAAGCUUUCUAGGAAACAGGAGGGUAAUUAACAGCUACAUCAAGGCUUGUACCCAGUGUCUUCAUGGAAGGAAAGGUGUCAACCCGGGGCGUGGUUGUACACCGAGACUUCUGUUCACUUUCCUUACUGCUGAAUUAGAGAAAUAAUUUAAUGCAGUCCUUA